AAAGUCGUAACAAGGUUUCCGUAGGUGAACCUGCGGAAGGAUCAUUACAAAUCCAACGUCUCCUCCGAGACACCGUUGAAACAUGUUGUUGUAGUGCCGUGGUUGGUGGACCGCGGAGGGGGCUGCGCCUCGCGCGCCGUCCUCUCCUCUCCGGUCUGCCGACAACACGCGCUGCUCACACUCACUAGAAACUGUUGAUCAUAUGUAUGCUUCUUUAACAAAGAAACAACUUAUACCAAUGGAUCUCUAGGCUCUU
rnacentral:misc_RNA from 1 species